rnacentral:rRNA from 1 species
GAUGAACGCUGGCGGUAUGCCUAACACAUGCAAGUCGUACGAGAGUUUUUAACUCUAGUGGCGGACGGGUGAGUAACACGUGAGAAUUUGCCUUUAGGAGGGGGAUAACAAUUGGAAACGAAUGCUAAUACCCCAUAUGCUUUUGAGUGAAAUGGAUUUUAUCCGCCUAGAAAGAAGCUCGCGGCUGAUUAGCUUGUUGGUGAGGUAAUGGCUCACCAAGGCGACGAUCAGUAUCUGGUUUGAGAGGAUGAUCAGACACACUGGAACUGAGACACGGUCCAGACUCCUACGGGAGGCAGCAGUGGGGAAUUUUCCGCAAUGGGCGAAAGCCUGACGGAGCAAUCUCGCGUGGGGGAUGACGGCCUAUGGGUUGUAAACCUCUUUUUUCAGGGAGGAACAAAAUGACGUGUACCUGAAGAAUAAGCAUCGGCUAACUCCGUG